AUUGAACGCUGGCGGCAGGCCUAACACAUGCAAGUCGAGCGGCAGCGGAAAGUAGCUUGCUACUUUGCCGGCGCGCGGCGGACGGGUGAGUAAUGUCUGGGAAACUGCCCGAUGGAGGGGGAUAACUACUGGAAACCGUGGCUAAUACCGCAUAACGGCUUCGGACCAAAGUCGGCGACCUUCGCGCCCCACACCAUCGGAUGCGCGCAGAUGGGAUUAGCUAGUCGGUGGGGGAAUGGCUCACCUAGGCGACGAUCCCUCGCUGGUCUGAGAGGAUGACCAGCCACACUGGAAAUGAGACACGGUCCAGACUCCUACGGGAGGCAGCAGUGGGGAAUAUUGCACAAUGGGCGCAAGCCUGAUGCAGCCAUGCCGCGUGUGUGAAGAAGGCCUUCGGGUUGUAAAGCACUUUCAGCGAGGAGGAAGGCAGUCGUGUUAAUAGCGCGACUGAUUGACGUUACUCGCAGAAGAAGCACCGGCUAACUCCGUGCCAGCCGCCGCAGUAA
rnacentral:rRNA from 1 species